rnacentral:rRNA from 1 species
UACGUAGGGUGCAAGCGUUAAUCGGAAUUACUGGGCGUAAAGCGUGCGCAGGCGGCUUGCAAGACAGAUGUGAAAUCCCCGGGCUUAACCUGGGAACUGCAUUUGUGACUGCAUGGCUGGAGUGCGGCAGAGGGGGAUGGAAUUCCGCGUGUAGCAGUGAAAUGCGUAGAUAUGCGGAGGAACACCGAUGGCGAAGGCAAUCCCCUGGGCCUGCACUGACGCUCAUGCACGAAAGCGUGGGGAGCAACAGG